UCCUGGGGAUAGCUCAAUUGGUAGAGCACGAGACUCUUAAUUUCAGGGUUGUGGGUUCGUGCCCCAUCUUGGGCA